rnacentral:rRNA from 1 species
CUAAACCGUACUGAAAACCGACACAGGUGGUCAGGUAGAGAAUACUCAGGCGCUUGAGAGAACUCGGGUGAAGGAACUAGGCAAAAUAGCACCGUAACUUCGGGAGAAGGUGCGCUUACAGUAAUUGUAGUCCCUCGCGGAUGAAGGUGAAGUAAGUCGAAGAUACCAGCUGGCUGCAACUGUUUAUUAAAAACACAGCACUCUGCAAACACGAAAGUGGACGUAUAGGGUGUGAUGCCUGCCCGGUGCUGGAAGGUUAAUUGAUGGUGUUAUCGAAAGAGAAGCUCCUGAUCGAAGCCCCAGUAAACGGCGGCCGUAACUAUAACGGUCCUAAGGUAGCGAAAUUCCUUGUCGGGUAAGUUCCGACCUGCACGAAUGGCAUAAUGAUGGCCAGGCUGUCUCCACCCGAGACUCAGUGAAAUUGAAAUCGCCGUGAAGAUGCGGUGUACCCGCGGCUAGACGGAAAGACCCCGUGAACCUUUACUAUAGCUUGACACUGAACAUUGAAUUUUGAUGUGUAG